AGAGUUUGAUCAUGGCUCAGGGUUAACGCUGGCGGCGUGCCUAACACAUGCAAGUCGAACGGUUCUAAGCGCGAGCUUAGGAUAGUGGCGAACGGGUGAGUAAAAGGUAGGAAUCUACCCCUUGGACGGAGAUAGCUACUGGAAACGGUAGGUAAACUUCGAUAAGCCCGAGAGGGGAAAGUGGUGAGACAGCCGAGGGAUGAGCCUACUCUCCAUCAGGUAGUUGGUGAGAUAAAAGCUUACCAAGCCGAUGACGGAUAACCGGUGUGAGAGCAUGAACGGUCACAAGGGCACUGAGAGACGGGCCCUACUCCUACGGGAGGCAGCAGUGGGGAAUCUUGGACAAUGGGCGAAAGCCUGAUCCAGCGACGCCGCGUGGAGGAAGAAGUCCUUCGGGAUGUAAACUUCUGAACUAGCCGAAUAAAAGGCCUGUGGACACACAGGAGAAGAAAGUAGGCUAGGAAAAGUCCCGGCUAACUACGUGCCAGCAGCCGCGGUAAGACGUAGGGGGCAAGCGUUACCCGGAAUUACUGGGCGUAAAGGGGGCGUAGGCGGUAAAAGAAGUCAUCUGUGAAAACCUAUUGCUCAACGAUAGGCUAGCGGAUGAAACUGAAUUACUUGAGGGCACCAGAGGUAGACGGAAUUACCCGAGUAGGGGUGAAAUCCGCAGAUACGGGUAGGAACGCCGGUGGAGAAGUCGGUCUACUGGGGUGCACCAGACGCUGAGGCCCGAAAGCUAGGGGAGCAAACCGGAUUAGAUACCCGGGUAGUCCUAGCCGUAAACGAUGCUCACUANGUGUANGGAGUGAUAAACUCUCUGUGCUGAAGCGAACGCGCUAAGUGAGCCGCCNGGGGAGUACGUCCGCNAGGAUGAAACUCAAAGGNAUUGACGG
rnacentral:rRNA from 1 species